UGGGCGUGGAGUAAAGGUGAAAGACUUGAAAGGUGGAACUUCUUCAAAGGUUGAAUUAUUGUUUGCGCUACGUUCGACUCAAGAGGAAAACAAAUCCUUGAAUGAGACAAACAAGUCCUUGAAUGAUCGCUUGUCUGCCUUAGAAGAUGAGAUGAAAGAAAUUAAGAAAAUGAAAGAAUUAUUUGCUGCUCAACGAUCAUUUGUCCCGCCUACGACAUCGCCCGUUUCAUCCGAAUGACCACUGAUUUUGUCUGCUAACCAAGCUUGAUGAUGCUGUUGGAUUACACCUAAUGAAUUGAGAUUGAUUUUGGGGUAAGCGGUAUAACCACUACUAGUAUAACAUUUACAUAUUAUCUUACUAAUAGUUAUUCAGUCUUUUCAAAAUUUUGUACUUACAUGUUUUGAAGAUUAAAGUUACAAGUCAAGAUGCAAGUUUAGCAGAUGCACGAACUCAUUAUUAUUUUGCUAGGAAUGUUAUGUAGAACUCGGUAUCAUAGUCUAGCUUGGGUUGUUAGCAAUGUUUUUUUGUUAAGGUGUCGAGCAAAUAUUGAAACUAACAUCAUGGGAUGUUAACCAUUUUAUUGUAAUUAAUAUAACUCUCUUCCUCUCACUC